rnacentral:rRNA from 1 species
GACGAACGCUGGCGGCGUGCUUGACACAUGUAAGUUGAACGGAAAGGCCCUGCUUUUGUGGGGUGCUCGAGUGGCGAACGGGUGAGUAACACGUGAGUAACCUGCCCUUGACUUUGGGAUAACUUCAGGAAACUGGGGCUAAUACCGGAUAGGAGCUCCUGCUGCAUGGUGGGGGUUGGAAAGUUUCGGCGGUUGGGGAUGGACUCGCGGCUUAUCAGCUUGUUGGUGGGGUAGUGGCUUACCAAGGCUUUGACGGGUAGCCGGCCUGAGAGGGUGACCGGCCACAUUGGGACUGAGAUACGGCCCAGACUCCUACGGGAGGCAGCAGUGGGGAAUAUUGCACAAUGGGCGGAAGCCUGAUGCAGCAACGCCGCGUGCGGGAUGACGGCCUUCGGGUUGUAAACCGCUUUCGCCUGUGACGAAGCGUGAGUGACGGUAAUGGGUAAAGAAGCACCGGCUAACUACGUG